rnacentral:lncRNA from 1 species
GAAGAGGAACUACUUUGAGGACACUAGGAGAAGGCAGCUGUCUCCCAGCCGAGCAGAGGCCUCAGGAGAAACCAACUUUGUUGACAACCUUGAUCUUGGACUCCUAACUUCCAGGGCUGUGGGAAAUCAAUUUCUACUUGAGCCACCCCGUCAGUGAUGUUUUGUUAUGGCAGCCCUAACAAACGAAGACAUUAACCACGCAUCUCUGCCUCUCAGAAGAGCCUCAUAUCCCAGGCUGUGGCAUCUGGAUUUUCUUCUGCAGAUUGAAAGCAAAAGAGAUCCAGACGAUAGAGUAACAUCAAAGGUUCUGUGAACUGCAGGUGAACAGACGAUCAUCUUCACCUACGGGGCUCAUCGCCGUUUCAUUCCUGUGCUUCUCGGGAGGAAAGUUACCGCGGAGCAGCCCCUCAGCAGAGGAAUCCGUGGUGGAAACCCAAGCGUCCUGGCUGCAGUCUCCUGGGAACUGGAGUGUGAAUGCUUUCCUUCUGACGGCAGACAGCUGAGAACCUGCAGGGUUAAAAGUGCACAGUCCGGGAAGGUUCUGUUCCCAGGACAGCGCUAUCGAGUCCACUGGGCGCUCCACGCGGUCUACCUAAAGGGAACAGCCUGCGGCGUCGGCACCCUAUUCAUCUCUAAGGGUGGGGAGAUGGAAAAAUACCGUGCUGCUUAGCAUUGAUGAAGCGCUUGCUUCAGGGAAACUGACUAGAAUCUAUUUAGUCUCCAGAGCAUUUCUGAGAGGCAAGCAGGCCUCAGGGCACUGCAGAGGGACCACAUCUUUUUCUAGAAAGCCUGGGAGAGAGCAGAAUGAGGCCAAGCCUGAGGGCUUCUGGCUCCUUCUCUUCCUUGUGUAAUGCCCUUUCUGACUGGUGUGAGUGUCAGGGCUCCGUGAAUAACCUACUAUGUGUCUCUGGGUGUGAAGUUUGGGCUAUGGGAUGUGUCUGCACAAUAUCCUAGAGAAGGAAACAUUUUGUAUCUGUCAAAAACCUACUAGGGAUGUCAAAAUAUGAAACAAUAUUUGUAAAUAUGAAAUUCUGGGGAAAACGUGGCAAAACUCCUCAAGAUUGACAAUAAGAAACAAAGAGAAGUGGUGAGCUUCCUCCUACAGAAAGGCCCCUGGCUCCUGCAUUCCAAGAGCUGGUCCCUGCCCCAGAAGGAGGCCACAGGGCCUGUGUGGAGGGGUCUCCACAGUUAGGGAAGGAUGAAAGGUCACCCUCCCCAGCACAGCAGAUCCUGCCACCUUGUUCCCACCUGCCCUUCUGCCUUGUCUGCCAGCACAUCUUCUUUUAAGCCCGGCUUUCUCCCCUUUACUCUCUGGCCUCCAUGCUGCUUCUCCUUCCUCUACUCCCCACCUUCCAUGACCACCUGCUGUAAUUUUAAUCUUUCUAUAGUGUCCAGUCCAACAGCACCUUCUCUGUGAAGCUUCUCCAAUUUUCCCAGCUGGACAGAACUUCUGUAUAUUCAUAACCCUUCCUAUGCAUUUGUGCCUUAUUAUGUUUGUGACUGUCUUCUCUUCUAUAAGAGAUUCAACUCUUAAAGGGCAAGAGCCAUGUUUUGUUUAUCGUUGCAACUCCUAAAGUGCCUAGCAUGCUGCCUUUUAUUUAGUAAGGCCCUCAAAAAGCUUUGGAUGAAUUAAAUGGAAUCAUCCAAAUUUUCCCUGCAUUCAAUUCGAUUUCUUUUUCAAAAAAAGGUCUUCAACCUGGAAUUUCUCACUGAGUGAGAUGCUUUCAUCUGCAGUGGCAGGCAAGGUUUCAGAGGGAAAGCAUUUUUAUCUCUUGCAUGUGGCUUUCUCAAAACCUUUCCCUUGUGAGAAUAUAUAGCAAUGUUCUUUCCUUCUUGUCAUCUCAGUGGAUUAUCCAGUUCUCCUCUGUCACAAACACAUUUGGAUUUUACCAUCACUCUUUCACCAGACAGGAGCUUUCAAGAAAAUGAGGCCUCAAAGGUAGAAGAGCCUCUUCCAGCAGAGUCCCUCUGUCCUGUUCCAUUUAGGAGCUGGAGGGCCUGUUAGGUGAUGUGCCUUGCUACCAGUGGUGUCAUCUGCAUGGCUGCCCUUCCUCAAUCAAAGAAGGGCAUUCACAGGUCAGAAUCUGUAGAGAGCAGUGGCCUGGGAUGCCUUAUGUAUGGAUGGGAAACAGCUUGUAGAUUUGUGGCUGCAUGAAGCAAAGAUGCAACUCAGUCUCAUUGUGUUUGAAUACAUGUCAGUGAGCUAGUUUUGCAAAACCCAUGAGGCUGUGGUGAUGAAGUCAUGUAUCAAUGAGACUCGCCAGUGGACACUGCUUGGCUCUUCCUGUCUGACUCUUGCAGCUGCCAAGCAUGUUUUCCACAUCACUAAACAAGACCACCCCUCCCUUGGAGCUGGAGUCAAGGAGAGGAAAUACUAUCCACCAGAAAAAAAUCACAACCACACCGUCCAACUAUGAGCAUUAGUCUUGGAGCUGCAUUUCUGAAAAAAGUUCUCUGCCCUCAGCGAAAUUUUUAGAGGGGCUUGUGGGAGAAAAUAGGGGGAGAUGCCAAAAUGCAGAUGAUGGUGACAGUUGUACGCAGAGGAUUCAUCCCUUUCCCCCUACCCAAAAGUGGAUGCUGGGAGAAGAUACCCCCGAGUCACUCAGUGCUAGUUACUGUGCCAUUCUUACUUGGGGUGUGUUGGGGUGUGGGGGGAUGGCUACCACUCCCAGGGCUCCAGGAGCUGUGGUUCAGGUGAGCAACUGUGGUUCAGGGCAAAUCAGAUGCUCCUUCUGAAUGGCAUGGAGACCCAUGGUCAGGGCAAGGCAUAGAGAUCCACCAUCAGGGCGUUUGCUUCGUCUUGCCCCAUUUCAUUGUAAAUUAUUCAAAGAUAAAAGGGACUGUGCCUUUAAAAUUUAUUUUUGUUAAAGUAAUCUACAUAUAAUGUUUAAAAAGGCUCUUGUUCACAUUAUCCCCUCUAUAUUCCUCUCCACACUCCCAUGUAGCUAGAUCAGAAAUUUUAUUAGAUCAAUACUCAAUGUUGCAUUCUGAUAACUCUAAUAUUGUUCACAGCUCAACCAAGUUAGGGUAUUAUAAGUACAUUUUCUCUCCUUUAUAGUUGCUUGCAUUUAGUGGAGUUAACAAUGUUCUCCUUUUCUUAUUUACAUAGUUCUCUAUAUGUCUAUCACUGAUUCAUCCUGAAAAUCCCCUUCAGAACCAUAAACACCCUCUUAACACAUGUGGGCAACUCAGUCUGUCCCAUUUUCCUGAGAGGUGGCCACCCCUCGGUGCUGGCUAUUCUCAGGGCCAGCUGGGCAGAUGUCCUGCAGGGUGGUCCUUCACCAUCACCCAGGCAAGACUCUUUGCUUCUUGCCCGUGCAGGAGCCCCUGUGUCUGGGAUUUCCUGUGUCCCAUUAUCUGGGAUUCUUCCCUUUCUUUGGUGGCUGCAUCUUCUAGUCAUGUCCUAGGAAAUGGUGUGGAAGAGGUAAUUUGAACCUUGUGUAUCUGAAAUGGUCUUUAUUCCACCUGCACAUUUAAUUGAGGGUUAGGCUAGGUAUAGAAUUAUUUUCCCUCAACAUUUCAAUUUGAAAAUACUCCACUGUUUUUCGUAGCAUCCUGUGUGGCUUUGGGGAUUCAAGUGCCCUUUUGGUGAACAAUUGUUCAUAAUCAUUGAUGUGCAGUAUAUUUCUCUUGCUUUAUCUCCAAUGUUUUGAAGUUUCAUGAGAUUGCCUUGAUGUGGUUUACAUUUUUUGUUUGGGGUUCUUAGUGGGCUCUUUGAAUUUGGAAUCUUGUGGCCUUUCAUUCUGAGAAACUAAAAAAUGUAUAUAUAUCAUUCUUCCAUAAUUUAUCCCCUCUAUUUUUUCAGUUCUUUCUUUCUGGAACUUGUAGUAUUAGUCUGGGUCCUCCAGGAAGGAGAUGCCAGGACAGGAUGAAACAUGAGAGGAUUUUGUUAAGGGAGAUGGUGGUGAGAGAGUGUGGGGAGGAAUCUAAGGGAGGCUGGGGGCUGGGGCAGCAAGUCUGACCCCUGCGAAAGAGAGAGGGAGGGAGGGUUGGAGGGUGCACCUCGUAGGGGACAGCUGUCACGGAGCUGAAGCCCCAUCAGAGAGCCUACCUCUUCCAAGAACUGGCCUGCCUUGGUGCUCUGCCUCACUCAGUGACUAGGAGCAGCCCACAGACUGUGUGCUUGGAGCAGAGGCUGUGGAGGGCCUCAGCAGCUGCAGCUGCAAGUUGGCCAGGUACAUUCUCAUGGCUGCCACCUCCUAUCAUCCUGUGAUUGCUGACUCUCCUGCAUGGAUUCUAUCCUUUCCUUAUCUUUUCUCUCCUAUUAUUGUUCCUUAACAAAAACUAUUGGGAGAUUUUCUUAGCUUUGUUUUCAGAUCAUUUUAUCUGCUCUAAUAUUUAAAUUUCCAAGUGCUCUUUCUUGUUCUUGGAGUCUUUUUUUCUAGCGUCUUGUUUGACAUCUAUAAUAUCGUCUUUUCUCUCUGAAGGUAGGUAAGGGUUUUAGACAUUUAUUUUGCCCCCUGCUAGGCCUCUACUUACUCCAGGUUUCCUUUCUCUGUUUGCCUUGACCUUUCUUUUUCAUGUUAAAGCCUUUCCUCAAAUGUCUGAUUACCCUUGGCUGCCCGUCAUUUAAGAAAGCGCCACUAGUCAGCUCAUCGGAAGCUGUGAGGGAGAGGGCUGCAUUUGGUCCUGCCAGGUGGAGGAACACUCAGGCAUCAGUACUAGGAGGUCUUUCCUCUCAGCCCAUUGGAUUUCCCUAGAGUCCUACACGGCUGGGAUGAGGCACCUGGGUGCUGAGUAGAGGAAGGGAGUCAUGGGUCAGUCACCCUGUAUGCAGAUUUUCACACAACCCCCUCUCUCCAGGACACGCCUCGCCCCCCACCCUAAGUAAUGCAGAACCCAAAUCCACACCCUUCCUGGGUUUCUCCAGAGUCAACCUCAAACCCUAGGCUGGGGAGUCUGUUUCCUAUAGGCACUUUCAACCAGUGAUCCUGUUUUCAGCCCCACACAUCAGCUCUUCUUUCAGAGGCACCUGGCCCCUCUGUUGUGUGAAUGGGAAUGUGCUGCCUUCCUCUAAAUCAGACAAGCACCUGGAAAGGCUUUUUGUUUAUCUGAAUGACUCCUGUUGGAAUAUUAGUCAUGAAUAGGAUAAUAUGUUUCAAAUGUUCCAAACUUCUUUAAGAGAAAGAGAAAACCGUCUGUUGACUCUGGUCUUCACUCAGGUCCAGCGGCGGGAUGCUCCAGGUCCAGUCUGAGGAGUAAAUGCUGGGCGUGUAACCUCAUCAGUGUUGGGAACCUGGUGAGGCUACACAGCACAGAGGGGCCGGACUGCAUCAGGGAAAGAGGAGUUGGGCUGUCUUCUCAUUGUCACACACAAUCCCACCAUGGAGGACUCAGGCUGUCUCAUGGCUACAGAGGUAGUGAAGCAGUUGCCAGGCGCCACAGCAGGAACGGAAUUUCUCCGUGAAGACAGUGCAGGUCCAAAAGGGCCCAGUUUUGAAGAUUGGGGGCAAGGAGUGGGGGAUGAAGCUGUCUGCUGGAUCACAAGAGUCAAAGACACGCCUUCAGCCCACACAGGUGGGGAGGCUCAGAAUGCCUGCCCCCUAGGGCCUCCACGCUGGACAUUGGGUCAGGGAAGCCCCCUUUCCUGAGUUGUUCUGUGGGACUCCAAAGGGCCUCCUGCCAAGCUCUCUGACAGUUCACAUCCCAUCUGAAGAGCCUCAUGCACCAGUCCAGGGCCUCUGAGAAGCAGAUGCCAAGAGGGGAUUAAAAAUGCCAAGAUUUUGUUGGAGGAGAUGCCCAGGUGAGGAAAGUCAGAGGGAGGCUGUCUGAGGAGUUUUCAGACCAGGACUCAGGGCAGACCCUGAGGGGAGGAGGGAGAGCAGGUUGGGAGGAUGCAUCCUAGACUGCCAUGGAGUCUAAGGAAGAUUCCACGGCCGUGCAAGAGUGCUCCAGCCAAAGGCACCCUUGGAGGAGCCCACCUCUCCCGGGGACUGCCUCCCUUCAUGUCCUCCUGUGCUCAGUCCCUUCAGAGUGCAGCCCCUUUGGCCUUGGACACUUCCUCUCCCUGCGUUUCGUUGGGCUGCAGGGCGUGUUCUCCUGGCCUCCACACCCAGGCCUGCUCAGGGGUAGGGUUGGGUGAACCUGAGGCUUGGGAAUAUCCCACUGGGGGGAUUGGGAGGCCUGCAAAGGUAGGUAGAGGGCCACGCAGUGAGGGGUGCAGAAGGGAGGGCCUGUGGACAGAGGGGGUGAACCCAAGGACGGCAAGCAGCAGCAGGGACAGGCGUGACCACAGGAGGCCACCUGUGAAGGGAGAAGGCCAGAUUUAGCAGGAGCGUGGACUCCCCGCCUGUUGCUCUUUCCCCCACCAUGUUGUAGCUCCUUAGUGUGGGUCUCCUCCCACCUCACUUCGCAUGGGAACCCUUCUGCAAGUGGCUUCACUUACACCUGUGUCUUGUUCUGUCUGGGCUGCUGUAACAAAAUAUCUGAGGCUGGGUAAUUUAUAAACCACAGAGAGUUAUGGAGGCUGGAAGUCCAAGACCAAGGCACAGGCAGGUUUGAUGUCUGCUGAGGCCUUGACCACUGCAUCACAUGGUGGAAGGCAGACGGGCAGAAAGAGGACAAACACUGUGUCCUCACAGCAGAAGAGAAUGAACCUCCUCCCUCGAGCCCUUUGAUAAGGGCCCUAACCCCAUCUGGAAGGGCUCUACCUGAUGACUUAAUCACCUCCUAAAGGCCCUGCCUCUUAAAACUAUCUCAUGGGGAUUAUGUUUCAAUAUAUAAAUUUUGUGAGACACAUUCAGACCAUAGCAACCUACUAUGUUCUUUUUCCUUAUCUGUAAUGACUGGUUAUGCUUAUAAAUGUUUGAAAGCAAAAGUGCCUUUUCCGUGAAAUUUUGCAUCUGUUUCCAUUUUAUCCCUUCUCUG